GCAGUGGUGGAACCAUUGCUGGCCUCGCAUUAGGAUCAAGGUUAAGCAAUUUGAAAGCAAAAGUCCAUGCAUUCUCUAUUUGGAAUGAUCCUGGAUUCCUCUAUGACUAUAUCCAAAACUUGAUUGACGGACUUCAAUCUGGUUUGAAUUCACAUGAUAUUGUCACUAUUGAAAAUGAAAACUAUUUGGCUGUCGGGAAGAACAAACACCAAGGUGCCAAAGUCAUUUCAUUGAGCAUGGACGUCCCUGCUACAAGGAAAUUGGUGAUUCCAAAUCAUCAUGGCCCGAUCAGUAUGAAGAGGCUACUAUAAACGCUUGUUUCUUCACCAAAGCGAACAAGGAGACCACUGGGCAAGUAGUUAAGCUACGAUUUAUCCAUCAGCUAGCAUGUAGCCUCUGUUGAAACGUUAUGUGAUCUCUUGUUGUUCAGUGUGUAGCAUAUAUAUAUUUAUUAAUUUCAGUAUCUAAAUUUCAUAUAGAAUUGGGAUCAGUGUGUACAGAUGAG